CCUACGUGUGGCAGCAGUGAGGAAUAUUGGUCAAUGGGCGAAAGCCUGAACCAGCCAAGUCGCGUGAAGGAUUAAGGCCCUAUGGGUCGUCAACCUCUUUUUUCAGGGAGCAAUUGCGUCCACGUGUGGGCUUAUGGAGAGUACCUGAAGAAAACGCAUCGGCUAACUACGUGCCAGCAGCCGCGGUAAUACGGAGGAUGCUAGCGUUAUCCGGAUUUAUUGGGUUGAAAGGGUGCGUAGGCGGAAUACCAAGUCAGCGGUAAAAUCGCGGGGCUCAACCUCGUCCUGCCGUUGAAACUGGUGUUCUUGAGUGGGCUAGAAGUAUGCGGAAUGCGUGGUGUAGCGGUGAAAUGCAUAGAUAUCACGCAGAACUCCGAUUGCGAAGGCAGCAUACCGGCGCCCAACUGACGCUGAAGCACGAAAGCGUGGGUAUCGAACAGGAUUAGAUACCCCAGUAGUC
rnacentral:rRNA from 1 species